UCAGGCUUUAAAAGCUGGACCAUGUGUUUGCUGCCGUCUCUUCUCAGUUGGUGUGACAUCAGCUUUCUUUGGUGGGGUUGGUGGUUUAGUUUAGAAUUGAUUCUGGUUUGUUUCAAUUAAGCUCUGGUGUGUCUGGUAUCGCCACUUGUGUCUUCAAUUUAUUCAAGAAAGUUUCAAGUCCUAAAUAGACAGAUUAUGGGGGCCCUCGACGCCAUCACAAGAUGGUGCCUCUGCAUACCAUCGUGACCAAACAUAUCAGCACUAGUAGGAAGAUAAAUCCUUCGCAGGGAGCCCAGAGGGUUAACCCAUGGCCUCUCCCGGAACCUUUAAAUGGUGUCUGGACCCCCGGGAAAACAUCUGCCCAAACACCCAGGAGAGGACACAGGAAAGAAAGACAACCACCACACUACUUUUUGAGGAGCAGCUGUGCAGGACCUGGAACAAAGGCUACCAACUGAUUUUAAAAUGCUCAAUAAAUAUUUAAACUAAUCGUGUGCAAAUGUUCUUCAUGUGCAAAUCUAUGCUAAAUAAAGUUCUGGAUAAGGUGCUUUUAAUAAAGUGAAAGGUGCUCCUAAAGUGCUAGACAAAUUAUAAAUAGUACGAGACAGACUACAGAUGUCCACGAAUAAGCUCCCUCGACUCCGUAACUAAAGAACUGGCAUCAGAUGGAGAUCAACUAAAAGCUAGUAUGAUGCAAUAAGAGAUCUGCUGAAAGAGCUGCAAUGCACUGAAAAAGAAGUCUCGAAGCUGAAGACUGAGAUAGGAGA